AGGACGAACGCUGGCGGCGUGCUUAACACAUGCAAGUCGAGCGGUAAGGCCUUUCGGGGUACACGAGCGGCGAACGGGUGAGUAACACGUGGGUGAUCUGCCCUGCACUUCGGGAUAAGCCUGGGAAACUGGGUCUAAUACCGGAUAUGACCUCAGGUUGCAUGACUUGGGGUGGAAAGAUUUAUCGGUGCAGGAUGGGCCCGCGGCCUAUCAGCUUGUUGGUGGGGUAAUGGCCUACCAAGGCGACGACGGGUAGCCGACCUGAGAGGGUGACCGGCCACACUGGGACUGAGACACGGCCCAGACUCCUACGGGAGGCAGCAGUGGGGAAUAUUGCACAAUGGGCGAAAGCCUGAUGCAGCGACGCCGCGUGAGGAUGACGGCCUUGGUUGUAACCUCUUCAGCAGGACGAAGCGCAGUGACGGUACCUGCAGAAGAAGCACCGGCUAACUAACGUGCCAGCAGCCGC
rnacentral:rRNA from 1 species